AACUUGUAGCAACGGAUCUCUUGGUUCUGGCAUCGAUUAAGAACGCAGCGAAAUGCGAUAAGUAAUGCGAAUUGCAGAAUUCCAGUGAGUCAUCGAAUCUUUGAACGCACAUUGCGCCCUUUGGUAUUCCGAAGGGCAUGCCUGUUCGAGCGUCAUUAUCACCCCUCAAGCCCUGCGCUUGGUGUUGGACGGCCGGUCGAGCGAUCGACCCCUCCUAAAGACAAUGACGGCGGCCUGUGGUUCCCCCGGUACACUGAGCUUUUCACAGAGCACGUAUCGGACAAGGGCACCCGGGACCCGGUCCUCUCCUUUCACAAAAGGAAACUUUCUAUGGUUGACCUCGGAUCAGGUAGGAAUACGCGCUGAACUUAAGCAUAUCAAUAAGCGGAGGCU
rnacentral:misc_RNA from 1 species